rnacentral:misc_RNA from 1 species
GAUGAAGAACGUAGCAAAAUGCGAUACUUGGUGUGAAUUGCAGAAUCCCGUGAACCAUCGAGUUUUUGAACGCAAGUUGCGCCCGAAGCCUUUUGGCCGAGGGCACGUCUGCCUGGGCGUCACGCAUCGCGUCGCCCCCCACAAUUCUUCGUAAAGGGAACAUGUGUUUUGGGGGCGGAUAUUGGUCUCCCGUGCUCAUGGCGUGGUUGGCCGAAAUAGGAGUCCUUUCGAUGGACGCACGAACUAGUGGUGGUCGUAAAAACCCUCGUCUUUUGUUUUGUGCUGUUGCUCGCAAGGUAAACUCUUUAAAAACCCCAAUGUGCCGUCUCUUGACGACGCUUCAACCGCGACCCCAGGUCAGGCGGGACUACCCGCUGAGUUUAAGCAUAUCAAUAAGCGGAGGA